GAUGAAGAGCGUAGCGAAAUGCGAUAAGUAGUGUGAAUUGCAGAAUUCCGUGAAUCAUCGAAUCUUUGAACGCACAUUGCGCCUUCUGGUAUUCCGGAAGGCAUGCCUGUUCGAGAGUCAUUAACAACCGUUUCGAUCCCUUUCUUUCAGAAAUUACAAAGAGGAAAAGGGUUUGGUUAUGGUGGAGGAGGGAAAGGGAGCGUUUAGCCUGUAAAAAAAGAGGCUGUGUUCCGCCUCCCCCCCAAAAUUGUACAGGCGGUCGUGUGCGCCCACGCAUCGAGGUGUUGUAAAAGCUGCCACGGCACUUUUCACCUGUGCAGUGCGAGAUUGGCCAGCCGGUUUAAAAACCCCUCCAAACAAUCAAAGGUUGACCUCGGAUCAGGUAGGGAUACCCGCUGAACUUAAGCAUAUCAAUAAGCGGAGGA
rnacentral:misc_RNA from 1 species